CAUUUCUCCAGUUCCUGUCCAUAUGUGGGGAGAAAUGGCAAAUGCCUCUCCGGGUGACAGCGUCCAGAAACAAGCAGCCUCUCACCCGGUGAGUGUGACAGAAACCUCACCCACAGCCAUGGCUGACAUCUGAGAGGUUUUCCGGGCAGCCUCCUUGAAGAGGUGAAGAUGGGCUCUGAAACAUUGGUAUGAAGGAGGUGAGAAGAGGGGAAAGACCAGUACUGAGGAAAGAGCUUUGAGAACUGAAGGCAGAAGCAGCUUGAAAACUGGAUGUAGCAAAGAUGGGAUCCACUAGAUCUAAGAACUCAUGUUCUUUCCAUUUAUCAAACAGCAACUGUGUGCCAGGCAUUGGGUAAUCACUUCCACACUCGAUAUUUCACCUACUCCCUUCCAGCCACCCUAUGAAGGAGCUGCCAACA
rnacentral:lncRNA from 1 species